rnacentral:rRNA from 1 species
UGCAAGUCGAGCGAACAGAUAAGGAGCUUGCUCCUUUGAAGUUAGCGGCGGACGGGUGAGUAACACGUGGGUAACCUACCUAUAAGACUGGGAUAACUUCGGGAAACCGGAGCUAAUACCGGAUAACAUUUAGAACCGCAUGGUUCUAAAGUGAAAGAUGGUUUUGCUAUCACUUAUAGAUGGACCCGCGCCGUAUUAGCUAGUUGGUAAGGUAACGGCUUACCAAGGCGACGAUACGUAGCCGACCUGAGAGGGUGAUCGGCCACACUGGAACUGAGACACGGUCCAGACUCCUACGGGAGGCAGCAGUAGGGAAUCUUCCGCAAUGGGCGAAAGCCUGACGGAGCAACGCCGCGUGAGUGAUGAAGGGUUUCGGCUCGUAAAACUCUGUUAUUAGGGAAGAACAAAUGUGUAAGUAACUGUGCACAUCUUGACGGUACCUAAUCAGAAAGCCACGGCUAACUACGUGCCAGCAGCCGCGGUAAUACGUAGGUGGCAAGCGUUAUCCGGAAUUAUUGGGCGUAAAGCGCGCGUAGGCGGUUUCUUAAGUCUGAUGUGAAAGCCCCACGGCUCAACCGUGGAGGGUCAUUGGAAACUGGGAAACUUGAGUGCAGAAGAGGAAAGUGGAAUUCCAUGUGUAGCGGUGAAAUGCGCAGAGAUAUGGAGGAACACCAGUGGCGAAGGCGACUUUCUGGUCUGUAACUGACGCUGAUGUGCGAAAGCGUGGGGAUCAAACAGGAUUAGAUACCCUGGUAGUCCACGCCGUAAACGAUGAGUGCUAAGUGUUAGGGGGUUUCCGCCCCUUAGUGCUGCAGCUAACGCAUUAAGCACUCCGCCUGGGGAGUACGACCGCAAGGUUGAAACUCAAAGGAAUUGACGGGGACCCGCACAAGCGGUGGAGCAUGUGGUUUAAUUCGAAGCAACGCGAAGAACCUUACCAAAUCUUGACAUCCUUUGAAAACUCUAGAGAUAGAGCUUUCCCCUUCGGGGGACAAAGUGACAGGUGGUGCAUGGUUGUCGUCAGCUCGUGUCGUGAGAUGUUGGGUUAAGUCCCGCAACGAGCGCAACCCUUAAGCUUAGUUGCCAUCAUUAAGUUGGGCACUCUAGGUUGACUGCCGGUGACAAACCGGAGGAAGGUGGGGAUGACGUCAAAUCAUCAUGCCCCUUAUGAUUUGGGCUACACACGUGCUACAAUGGACAAUACAAAGGGCAGCUAAACCGCGAGGUCAUGCAAAUCCCAUAAAGUUGUUCUCAGUUCGGAUUGUAGUCUGCAACUCGACUACAUGAAGCUGGAAUCGCUAGUAAUCGUAGAUCAGCAUGCUACGGUGAAUACGUUCCCGGGUCUUGUACACACCGCCCGUCACACCACGAGAGUUUGUAACACCCGAAGCCGGUGGAGUAACCAUUUAUGGAGCUAGCCGUCGAAG